rnacentral:rRNA from 1 species
GACGAACGCUGGCGGCGUGCCUAAUACAUGCAAGUAGAACGCUGAAGGAGGAGCUUACUUCUCUGGAUGAGUUGCGAACGGGUGAGUAACGCGUAGGUAACCUGCCUGGUAGCGGGGGAUAACUAUUGGAAACGAUAGCUAAUACCGCAUAAGAGUAGAUGUUGCAUGACAUUUACUUAAAAGGUGCAAUUGCACCACUACCAGAUGGACCUGCGUUGUAUUAGCUAGUUGGUGGGGUAACGGCUUACCAAGGCGAAGAUACAUAGCCGACCUGAGAGGGUGUUCGGCCACACUGGGACGGAGACACGGCCCAGACUCCUACGGGAGGCAGCAGGAGGGAAUCUUCGGCAAUGGACGGAAGUCUGACCGAGCAACGCCGCGUGAGUGAAGAAGGUUUUCGGAUCGUAAAGCUCUGUUGUAAGAGAAGAACGAGUGUGAGAGUGGAAAGUUCACACUGUGACGGUAUCUUACCAGAAAGGGACGGCUAACUACGUGCCAGCAGCCGCCGUAA